rnacentral:rRNA from 1 species
GACGAACGCUGGCGGCGUGCCUAAUACAUGCAAGUCGAGCGAACAGACGAGGAGUUUGCUCUUCUGACGUUAGCGGCGGACGGGUGAGUAACACGUGGAUAACCUACCUAUAAGACUGGGACAACUUCGGGAAACCCGAGCUAAUACCGGAUAAUAUAUUGACCCGCAUGGUUCAAUAGUGAAAUCCGGUUUUGCUGUCACUUCUAGAUGUCUCCUCGCCGCAUUGGCUAGUUGGUAAGGUAACGGCUUACCAAGGCAACGAUGCGUAGCCGACCUGAGAGCGUGAUCCCGCACUCAGGGGCUGGAACACGGUCCAGAUGCCUACGGGAGGCAGCAAUAGGGACGGUUCGGAAAUGGGGGAAAGAUUGACGGAGGAGCGCAAGGUGGGUGAUGAGGAUCUUCGGAGCGGAAGACUCUGUUAUGAGUGAAAAACAAAUGUGUAAGUGACUAUGCACGUCUUGACGGUACCUAGUCAAAAAGCACCGGCUAACUACGUG